rnacentral:rRNA from 1 species
ACGAACGCUGGCGGCGUGCCUAAUACAUGCAAGUAGAACGCUGAAGAGAGGAGCUUGCUCUUCUUGGAUGAGUUGCGAACGGGUGAGUAACGCGUAGGUAACCUGCCUUGUAGCGGGGGAUAACUAUUGGAAACGAUAGCUAAUACCGCAUAACAAUGGAUGACCCAUGUCAUUAUUUGAAAGGGGCAAAUGCUCCACUACAAGAUGGACCUGCGUUGUAUUAGCUAGUAGGUGAGGUAACGGCUCACCUAGGCGACGAUACAUAGCCGACCUGAGAGGGUGAUCGGCCACACUGGGACUGAGACACGGCCCAGACUCCUACGGGAGGCAGCAGUAGGGAAUCUUCGGCAAUGGGGGCAACCCUGACCGAGCAACGCCGCGUGAGUGAAGAAGGUUUUCGGAUCGUAAAGCUCUGUUGUAAGUCAAGAACGAGUGUGAGAGUGGAAAGUUCACACUGUGACGGUAGCUUACCAGAAAGGGACGGCUAACUACGUGCCAGCAGCCGCGGUAAUACGUAGGUCCCGAGCGUUGUCCGGAUUUAUUGGGCGUAAAGCGAGCGCAGGCGGUUUGAUAAGUCUGAAGUUAAAGGCUGUGGCUCAACCAUAGUUCGCUUUGGAAACUGUCAAACUUGAGUGCAGAAGGGGAGAGUGGAAUUCCAUGUGUAGCGGUGAAAUGCGUAGAUAUAUGGAGGAACACCGGUGGCGAAAGCGGCUCUCUGGUCUGUAACUGACGCUGAGGCUCGAAAGCGUGGGGAGCGAACAGGAUUAGAUACCCUGGUAGUCCACGCCGUAAACGAUGAGUGCUAGGUGUUGGAUCCUUUCCGGGAUUCAGUGCCGCAGCUAACGCAUUAAGCACUCCGCCUGGGGAGUACGACCGCAAGGUUGAAACUCAAAGGAAUUGACGGGGGCCCGCACAAGCGGUGGAGCAUGUGGUUUAAUUCGAAGCAACGCGAAGAACCUUACCAGGUCUUGACAUCCCGAUGCUAUUUCUAGAGAUAGAAAGUUACUUCGGUACAUCGGUGACAGGUGGUGCAUGGUUGUCGUCAGCUCGUGUCGUGAGAUGUUGGGUUAAGUCCCGCAACGAGCGCAACCCCUAUUGUUAGUUGCCAUCAUUCAGUUGGGCACUCUAGCGAGACUGCCGGUAAUAAACCGGAGGAAGGUGGGGAUGACGUCAAAUCAUCAUGCCCCUUAUGACCUGGGCUACACACGUGCUACAAUGGUUGGUACAACGAGUUGCGAGUCGGUGACGGCAAGCUAAUCUCUUAAAGCCAAUCUCAGUUCGGAUUGUAGGCUGCAACUCGCCUACAUGAAGUCGGAAUCGCUAGUAAUCGCGGAUCAGCACGCCGCGGUGAAUACGUUCCCGGGCCUUGUACACACCGCCCGUCACACCACGAGAGUUUGUAACACCCGAAGUCGGUGAGGUAACCUUUUGGAGCCAGCCGCCUAAGGUGGGAUAGAUGAUUGGGGUG